rnacentral:rRNA from 1 species
AGGGCAUUCGGUGGAUGCCUUGGCGUAUAGAGGCGAUGAAGGACGUGAUAGGCUGCGAUAAGCCCGGGUGAGGUGCCAAUAACCUUUGACCCCGGGAUUUCCGAAUGGGAAAACCCACGACUUUAGUCGUAUCUGCGCCUGAAUUUAUAGGGCGUAGAGGCAAACCUGGGGAACUGAAACAUCUAAGUACCCAGAGGAAAGGAAAUCAAUAGAGACUCCGUUAGUAGUGGCGAGCGAACGCGGAUCAGGCCAGUGGUAUUUUAUAAGUAACGAGAACAAGCUGGGAAGCUUGACCUUAGUAGGUGAUAGUCCUGUAUCGGUACAACUUAUUUAAUAUCCUUGAGUAGGGCGGAACACGUGAAAUUUUGUCUGAAUAUGGGGCGACCAUGCUCCAAGCCUAAGUACUCCUAUACGACCGAUAGUGCACAAGUACCGUGAGGGAAAGGUGAAAAGUACCCCGAUGAGGGGAGUGAAAGAGAUCCUGAAACCGAAUGCCUACAAUUCAGUCGGAGCACUAUAUGUGUGACGGCGUACCUUUUGUAUAAUGGGUCAGCGACUUAGUUUUACUAGCAAGCUUAAGCCGAUAGGUGUAGGCGCAGCGAAAGCGAGUCUUAAUAGGGCGAAUUAGUUAGUAGAAUUAGACCCGAAACCGAGUGAUCUAGGUAUGGGCAGGUUGAAGAUGCAGUAACAUGCAUUGGAGGACCGAACCAGAUAAUGUUGAAAAAUUACUGGAUGACCUGUGCCUAGGGGUGAAAGGCCAAUCAAACUCGGAGAUAGCUGGUUCUCCGCGAAAACUAUUUAGGUAGUGCGUCAUGUGAAUACCAUAGGGGGUAGAGCACUGGAUGGGCUAGGGGGGCGCGAGCCUUACCAAACCUUACCAAACUCCGAAUACCUAUGAGUAAUGCAUGGCAGACAGACUGUGGAUGCUAAGGUCCAUAGUCGAAAGGGAAACAGCCCUAACCACCAACUAAGGUCCCUAAGUUAUUACUAAGUGGGAAAGGAUGUGGGAAGGCCAAGACAACCAGGAGGUUAGCUUAGAAGCAGCUACCCUUUAAAGAAAGCGUAAUAGCUCACUGGUCUAAAUAAGCCGUCCUGCGCCGAAGAUGUACCGGGGCUAAAGUAAUACACCGAAGUUGUGGAUGCAUAAUCUUUGAUUAUGCGUGGUAGCGGAGCGUUCUGUAAGUCGAUGAAGGGAUACCCGUGAGGGGUCCUGGAGAUAUCAGAAGUGAGAAUGCUGACAUGAGUAGCGAUAAAGAGUGUGAGAGACACUCUCGCCGAAAUCCCAAGGGUUCCUACGCAAGGCUAAUCCGCGUAGGGUCAGUCGGCCCCUAAGUCGAGGACGAAAGUCGUAGACGAUGGGAAUCAGGUUAAUAUUCCUGAACCUGCUGGAAGUGACGGAUGAGGUAAAUUGUACUUGCUUAACGGAUUGUUGAGUGCAGUGAACUUGUUCCAGGAAAUAGCUCCAGCGUGUAGACCGUACCCCAAACCGACACAGGUGGGAUGGUAGAGAAUACCAAGGCGCUUGAGAGAACUGCGUUGAAGGAACUCGGCAAAAUGCCUCCGUAACUUCGGGAGAAGGAGGCCCCAUUUUUGCGCAAGCAAGAAUGGGGGGCACAGAAUAGGGGGUGGCGACUGUUUACUAAAAACACAGGACUCUGCGAAGUCGUAAGACGACGUAUAGGGUCUGACGCCUGCCCAGUGCUGGAAGGUUAAAAGGAGGUGUGCAAGCAUCGAAUUGAAGCCCCAGUAAACGGCGGCCGUAACUAUAACGGUCCUAAGGUAGCGAAAUUCCUUGUCGGGUAAGUUCCGACCUGCACGAAUGGCGUAACGACUGCCCCACUGUCUCCAACGCAGACUCAGCGAAAUUGAAUUCCCCGUGAAGAUGCGGGGUACCCGCGGUUAGACGGAAAGACCCCGUGCACCUUUACUACAGCUUCGCAGUGGUAUUAGGGAUUUUAUGUGUAGGAUAGGCUGGAGACUUUGAAGCAGACACGCCAGUGUUUGUGGAGUCAUCCUUGAAAUACAGCCCUUAAAAUUCUUGAUAUCUAACCACGAUCCAUUAUCUGGAUCUGGGACCCUGCGUGGUGGGUAGUUUGACUGGGGCGGUCGCCUCCUAAAGAGUAACGGAGGCGCGCGAUGGUAGGCUCAAGUUGGUCGGAAAUCAACUGAUGAGUGCAAUGGCAUAAGCCUGCCUGACUGCGACACCGAUGGGUGGAGCAGAGACGAAAGUCGGUCAUAGUGAUCCGGUGGUCCCGUAUGGAAGGGCCAUCGCUCAACAGAUAAAAGGUACGCCGGGGAUAACAGGCUGAUACCCCCCAAGAGUCCACAUCGACGGGGGUGUUUGGCACCUCGAUGUCGGCUCAUCUCAUCCUGGGGCUGGAGCAGGUCCCAAGGGUAUGGCUGUUCGCCAUUUAAAGAGGUACGUGAGCUGGGUUUAGAACGUCGUGAGACAGUUCGGUCCCUAUCUGCCGUGGGUGUUCGAGAAUUGAGAGGAGCUGUCCCUAGUACGAGAGGACCGGGAUGGACAUACCUCUGGUGGACCUGUUGUUACGCCAGUAGCAUAGCAGGGUAGCUAAGUAUGGAAAGGAUAACCGCUGAAGGCAUCUAAGCGGGAAGCCCCCCUCAAAACUAGUUCU